GGUGGUGCAUGGCCGUUUUAAAUGGAUGGCGUGAGCUUUGGAUUAAGUUACGUAAGAUGUGAGACCCUUUUGACUGUGCUCUAUGGGGCAAGGAAGGAAUGGAAUAGAACAGGUCCGUUAUGCCCUGAGAUGAAGCGGGCGGCACGCGCACUACGAUAGAUGCUAUUUGUGGCUACUGUGAGGGAUGAAGUUGUGUAAUGGGCUUCUGAACGUGGAAUUCCUAGUAAGAAUGAUUGAACAAGUUAUUUUGAAUGUGUCCCUGUCCUUUGUACACACCGCCCGUCGCUAUCUAAGAUGACGCGGUGGACGAAGAUUGAGAGGUCUGAGUCUUUCGUGUUAGAUAAGAUAUAAGUCGUAACAUGGCUGCUGUUGGAGAACCAGUAGCAGGAUCAGUAUUGUGUGAUUUAUGUAUGUAUUUUGUAGGGAGUAGUUUUUUUGUGUGUGUUUGUUUGUUUUUCUCUAUUCAUGGGAUUGAUUGGCAUUUUUAUCGAUGAAGGACGUGAUGGAGGACGAUAUUGCCAUUUUUGUUUGUGAAUGGAUGUCUGAAUGAUACGUUUUGAUGUAUGAUGACCCCUUUGACUUAAGCAUAUCAUUAAAGGGAGGAAAAGAAACUAA
rnacentral:rRNA from 1 species